rfam:Myotis brandtii contig229854, whole genome shotgun sequence.
AGGCCCUGAGAGAAAGGCAGGGCCUGAUCCGCAGCCUCCUUGGCAGCUGUUAAUCAGCCGUUGCCUCUCUCUUUCUUUCCU